AAUAUAGAAACUUGGUCAACUAUAUAUAUAAUAGUUAAAUUGACAUUCAAACCUAAAAUAAUCAUUUGAAUUUUUGAACAUGGUGAUGGUGAGGAAGAUCAAGUGUGGAACAUUGAUGAGGUAAAAGCAAGCUUAUGAUAUUGUUCGGCUUAAUGCUGUUAUAUCAUAAGCUUGUUUUUGCCUCAUUUAUGUUCGGAACUUGAGAUUAUAUAUAAAGGCAUAAAGACCGAAAGAGAGAAAGAAGGUAUGUAUUUAUAUUAUUCAUUAAAUGUUAUUUAUGUUUGUGGUCGAUUCAAAGAUAUAUAAUAUGGAACAAACGAGAAGGCUUUUCUUCCAGAAAUUGAGGAUCAAAGCGUUUUCAAAGCAAAUCUCUAUCUAUGAAUAUGAAUUUUAAUUUUCAACUGUGUUUCGUUUUGUGAGUGGCGUGUUGUUGGUGAGUGGAAUGUUGUUUGUGAUGUGCUGUACUUGUUAGUUUCAUUUGAAUUUAUGGGUUUUGUGUUUCUAUAUAUGUACUGUAUGGUUAGAUAUGGUUAUCAGUCAUAUUAUUUUAGCGUUUAUCAGGCAUAUGAAAUGUGACUUUUGAUGGUUUUUUUUUUUGGGUAGGGGCUCAUCUUAGCCUUAAUAUAAAUCCCGACCCUCUUGAUUCUUCUCCAACCCAUGAUUUCAUUUUAUCAUUUGUAAUAAUUACUUAUUAAUUAAGCGAUCCCACGAAUGCAUUUAAAGAGGGUAAUUCUAUCUCUUUCUCUUUGAAUCGAUUGAAUCGAAUCCACUACUCCAUUAUCUCUAGGCUAUUCCUCCAUCAUCUAGUUUAAAAUGAUUGAGGGACCCUGAUUUUGAACCAAAACUUUUAGCCUUAAUGGGUAAAUUUUUCAUAAUAUCACCAUUAACAAGCUAAGAUAAAGCUUCAUACUUGACAAUCAAUUCGUGAAGCGCCAAGCUACAGUUUUUCUUGUCAAGGUUAGAAGAAAGAGAAUUCAAGAUUUGGUAAGCUUAAACACAAAAUCAAAGCUUCAAGAGGCAAAAGAAGUUAUUUUUCAUAAUUUCUUUACGAUCCAUGAUUGUUUUUGAUUUGUAAUAAUUUUUAUAGGUAGUUUAGAAUGUGUAAUAUUAAGACUAGAGCUCUGAUCAUGCAUGGAUGCUGCUUUUGAGUUUCAUUUAUUUUGUUGGAAUUGUAAAAAUCUGUUCUUGGAUCUGACAUCCAAUGGGUUAGAUUCUAGCAUUACUCCUCUGAAUUUGUAAAAUAUUUAUAUGGUUCUAAAUUACUCGAAGAGUACAUGAGAUUUAGCUUUGGAAUCACUCCAACAGCUUCUUUAAAACUCAAGUUAUGGGUGUUGGAAGUUCGAGUAAAAUUUAGGAAAGUUUUGGGCAGAUUAACUACCCAGAUUGUAAAAAUGAUUUGGAUAUUUUUAAUGGGCUAAAACUCAUCAUGAUAGUUAUAAUAUGUAUACAGUUUUCUAUUAAUUUUUAGGUUAAAAUUCAUUGUUGAAUUUGAGUGAAGAUUUUUGUAACCUAACCUUAGAAAUCUGGAAAUUUUUUUGGGUAAAUUAGGGUAUCUGUAUAUUGAGCACUUUUUAAGCAUUUUGUGCUAAGCCAAAAAUUACGAUUUUUUUUUACAUGUUUUCAACAUGUAUAAGAAUCAUUGUAAUUUUUCAAAUUUACACUCCAAGUAGGAUUGGAGUUAUACUUUUUGUAAGAAAACCCUAAAAACUGGAUAUUUACCUUACUGGCUGUUUUAAACUUGUAACUUGUGAAACUUAUAACUCAAGAAUAAAAAUUUAUUUUCA